AUGGUUGGAAGAUAUGCUGAAGAUGCACAAGAAGGCCAAAUGAAAGAUGAUAAUGUGCAGGAAAAUCAGAUGCAAGAUGAUGAUGUGCCGGAUGUAGAACAAAGAGCAAACGAACAUGUCACUUUUCGAGGCAUUGAGUUGUUGGAGCGAGAUCCUGCACUACGUCCACAAAUUUGGCAGUACCCCCCAAACCAAAGAGAUGAAGUACGAAGAGCUUACUUGAGGCUGGGUCCCAGUCAACCUAAACGAAAGAAAUAUAAAGCUAUUGGAAAACCAAGACACAAAAGACGUUUUCAGUACAGCUAUUUUCGUGAUUUUCCAUCAUGGCUGGAGUAUUCAUUGACCUCUCAUUGUGCAUAUUGUCUGUAUUGCUUUCUCUUUAGCAAAAAUAGAAAGAAAAGAGGUGGUUUUGAUGUCUUCACAACACAUGGUUUUAAUAAUUGGAAGAAAGUUCAUGAUGGACAGAAGUGUGCACUUUUAGUUCACAUGGGAUCAAGUCCUUGCUCACAACAUAACAAUGCAGUGAGAGAUGGCCAUGCUUUAUUGGAUCAGUCAAACCAUUUGGCAAAUAUCUUUGAUGUGAAGACCAUGGGGGAUAAAGAAAAGGAUCGUUUAAGGCUGAGAACUACGAUUGCGGUUGUAAAGGGGCUCACAUUUCAGUCUUGUGCUUUAAGAGGCCAUGAUGAGAGGCCGGAAUCAAGAAACAGAGGUAACUUUCUUGAGAUGUUGAAGCUUCUUGCAGAAUUCUGCCCUGAUGUUCAAGCUGUAGUUCUUGGCAAUGCUCCACAAGUUUGCAAAUACACAUCACACGAAAUUCAAAAUGAGAUCUUGAGCAUUUAUGCUAUGAAAGUCAGGGAGCAUAUUCAAGCAGAAAUUGGGGACUCAAAGUACUCUAUUAUUGUGGAUGAAACAUGUGAUGUGUCCAAAAGAGAGCAAAUGGCACUAGUUUUCAGAUUUGUUGAUAAAGAUGAUUAUUCCCAAGAAAGAUUCUUUCAUCUCAUACAUGUAGCCAACACAAAAGCACUGCCACUACAAAUGGAGUUGUGUAAAGUAUUAUCCAAGCAUGGAUUUGAUGUAUAA
rnacentral:rRNA from 1 species